rnacentral:rRNA from 1 species
GAUGAACGCUGGCGGCGUGCCUAAUACAUGCAAGUCGAGCGAACAGACGAGGAGCUUGCUCCUCUGACGUUAGCGGCGGACGGGUGAGUAACACGUGGAUAACCUACCUAUAAGACUGGGAUAACUUCGGGAAACCGGAGCUAAUACCGGAUAAUAUAUUGAACCGCAUGGUUCAAUAGUGAAAGACGGUUUUGCUGUCACUUAUAGAUGGAUCCGCGCCGCAUUAGCUAGUUGGUAAGGUAACGGCUUACCAAGGCAACGAGGCGUAGCCGACGUGAGAGGGUGAUCGGCCACACUGGAACUGAGCCACGGUCCAGACUCCUACGGGAGGCAGCAGUAGGGAAUCUUCCGCAAUGGGCGAAAGCCUGACGGAGCAACGCCGCGUGAGUGAUGAAGGUCUUCGGAUCGUAAAACUCUGUUAUUAGGGAAGAACAAAUGUGUAAGUAACUAUGCACGUCUUGACGGUACCUAAUCAGAAAGCCACGGCUAACUACGUG